AUGCUGACCACCUUGUUUCUAUCUUUUGUUCAUUACUCCAUCCUGAACUCUGGGCCACUCUAUGCAGCAUCUGUUAGACAUCUCCAUUUGAAUGCAUCCAAGAUGACUCAACUACAGCUUGUUCAGUAUGAAACUCAUCAUAUUCUCCCUCAUUUAUUCCGAACUGUUAAAAAAAAAAAAAAAUUGAUCUGGUGUGGUGACCUGUAAACCCAGCACACUAGGAGGCCUAGGUGGAAGGAAUACUUGAGGCCAGGAAUUUGAGACCAGCCUGAGCAACAUGGUGAGACAACAUCUCCAAAAAAAUUUAAAACAAUAAAUUAGCAGGGCACAGUGGUACAUACCUGUUGUCCUAGGUACUCAGGAGGCUGAAGUGGGAAGAUCACUAGAGCAAGGAGUUUGAGGUUAUGGAGAGCUAUGUGAUCAUGACCCUGUACUCCAGCCUGGGAGACAGAGCGAGACCUUAGAAAGAAAGAGAGAGAGAAAGAGAGAAGGAAG
rnacentral:lncRNA from 1 species